UUGUUAUGGUCGUCGUCGUCGUUGUUGUUGUUAUGGUCGUCGUCCUUGUCAUCGUCGUCGUCGUUGUUGUCGUCGUCGUCGUCGUUGUUGUUGUUGUUGUUGUUGUUGUUGUUGUUGUCGUUGUGGUUGUUGUUGUCGUUGUUGUUGCUGUCGUCGUCGUCGUCGUUGUUGUUGUUGUUGUUGUUGUUGUUGUUGUUGUUGUUGUCGUUGUGGUUGUUGUUGUCGUUGUUGUUGCUGUCGUCGUCGUCGUCUUUGUUGUUGUUGUUGUUGUGAUGUUUGUCGUCGUCGUCGUCGUCGUCUUCGUCUUCGUCUUCGUCGUCGUCGUCGUCGUCGUCGUCGUCGUCGU
rnacentral:lncRNA from 1 species